rnacentral:rRNA from 1 species
UAGGCUGAAACUCGCCUACAUGAAGCUGGAGUUACUAGUAAUCGCAGAUCAGAAUGCUGCGGUGAAUGCGUUCCCGGGUCUUGUACACACCGCCCGUCACACCACGGAAGUUGGGGGCGCCCGAAGCCACUUAGCUAACCCUUUGGGAAGCGAGUGUCGAAGGUGAAAUCAAUAACUGGGGUGAAGUCGUAACAAGGUACC